rnacentral:tRNA from 1 species
GGCCCCAUCGUCUAGUGGCCUAGGACGCCGGCCUCUCACGCCGGUGACAGGGAUUCGAAUUCCCUUGGGGCCA